GCAAUUGCGGCAGCUACACAUGCAGUCGAGCGGUAACAGGGGUAGCUUGCUACCCGCUGACGAGCGGCGGACGGGUGAGUAAUGCAUAGGAAUCUGCCCGAUAGUGGGGGAUAACCUGGGGAAACCCAGGCUAAUACCGCAUACGUCCUACGGGAGAAAGGGGGCUCCGGCUCCCGCUAUUGGAUGAGCCUAUGUCGGAUUAGCUAGUUGGUGAGGUAAAGGCUCACCAAGGCGACGAUCCGUAGCUGGUCUGAGAGGAUGAUCAGCCACAUCGGGACUGAGACACGGCCCGAACUCCUACGGGAGGCAGCAGUGGGGAAUAUUGGACAAUGGGCGAAAGCCUGAUCCAGCCAUGCCGCGUGUGUGAAGAAGGCCCUCGGGUUGUAAAGCACUUUCAGCGAGGAAGAACGCCUAGUGGUUAAUACCCAUUAGGAAAGACAUCACUCGCAGAAGAAGCACCGGCUAACUCCGUGCCAGCAGCCGCGGUAAUACGGAGGGUGCAAGCGUUAAUCGGAAUUACUGGGCGUAAAGCGCGCGUAGGUGGCUUGAUAAGCCGGUUGUGAAAGCCCCGGGCUCAACCUGGGAACGGCAUCCGGAACUGUCAAGCUAGAGUGCAGGAGAGGAAGGUAGAAUUCCCGGUGUAGCGGUGAAAUGCGUAGAGAUCGGGAGGAAUACCAGUGGCGAAGGCGGCCUUCUGGACUGACACUGACACUGAGGUGCGAAAGCGUGGGUAGCAAACAGGAUUAGAUACCCUGGUAGUCCACGCCGUAAACGAUGUCGACCAGCCGUUGGGUGCCUAGCGCACUUUGUGGCGAAGUUAACGCGAUAAGUCGACCGCCUGGGGAGUACGGCCGCAAGGUUAAAACUCAAAUGAAUUGACGGGGGCCCGCACAAGCGGUGGAGCAUGUGGUUUAAUUCGAUGCAACGCGAAGAACCUUACCUACUCUUGACAUCCUGCGAACUUGUGAGAGAUCACUUGGUGCCUUCGGGAACGCAGAGACAGGUGCUGCAUGGCUGUCGUCAGCUCGUGUUGUGAAAUGUUGGGUUAAGUCCCGUAACGAGCGCAACCCUUGUCCUUAUUUGCCAGCGCGUAA
rnacentral:rRNA from 1 species